UACGUAGGGCGCAAGCGUUGUCCGGAAUUAUUGGGCGUAAAGAGCUCGUAGGCGGCCAGUUGCGUCUGCUGUGAAAUCCCGGGGCUCAACCCCGGGCGUGCAGUGGAUACGGGCUGGCUAGAGGCAGGCAGGGGAGAACGGAAUUCCCGGUGUAGCGGUGAAAUGCGUAGAGAUCGGGAGGAACAUCAGUGGCGAAGGCGGCCAUCUGGGACAACACUGACGCUGAAGCACGAAAGCGUGGGGAGCAAACAGG
rnacentral:rRNA from 1 species